rnacentral:rRNA from 1 species
GACGAACGCUGGCGGCGUGCUUAACACAUGCAAGUCGAACGGAAAGGCCCCUUUGGGGGUACUUGCGUGGCGAACGGGCGAGUAACACGUGAGUAACCUGCCCUCGCCUUCGGGAUAACUUCCGGAAACUGGGGCUAAUACCGGACAGGAAUCCUCGCCGCAUGGAGGGGGUUGGUAAGCUUCGGCGGUUUGGGAUGGAUUCGCGGCUUACAUGUUGGUUGGUGGGUUAGUGGCUUACAAAGGCUUUGAGGGGCAGCGGGCCUGGGAGGGCGACAGGCACAAUGGGGCUGGGGAUCGGGCCAGGCUCCUACGGGGAGCAAGGAGGGGGAAUAUUGCACAAUGGGGGGGAGGCUGGUGGAGGAAAGGCGCGGGCGGGGUGGCGGGCUUCGGGGUGUAAACCGCUUUCAGCAGGGGCGGAGCUUGUGGUGACGGUACCGGCAGAAGAAGCACCGGCUAACUACGUG